GAUGAAGAACGCAGCGAAAUGCGAUAAGUAAUGUGAAUUGCAGAAUUCAGUGAAUCAUCGAAUCUUUGAACGCACAUUGCGCCCGCCAGUAUUCUGGCGGGCAUGCCUGUCUGAGCGUCAUUUCAACCCUCAUGCCCCUAGGGCGUGGUGUUGGGGAUCGGCCUAAGCCCGCGAGGGACGGCCGGCCCCUAAAUCUAGUGGCGGACCCGUCGUGGCCUCCUCUGCGAAGUAGUGAUAUUCCGCAUCGGAGAGCGAUGAGCCCCUGCCGUUAAACCCCCAACUUUCCAAGGUUGACCUCAGAUCAGGUAGGAAUACCCGCUGAACUUAAGCAUAUCAAUAAGCGGAGGA
rnacentral:misc_RNA from 1 species